AAACGGGUGGCGUCAAGCUGCAAGCCGGGAGAAUUCAGCCGAUUAGGGUGUAUAUGCGCCUGGCGCAUGGAACAGUCGGAGUGAGUCUGGAUGGUCCGCUGGAAGACAGUGGGUCUCGCCGCAAGGUGGGAUGUGUGUACCGGGUGUUAGCCGGAGCACGCCGUCCGUCUGCUGGACUGCCUAGUCGGUGCACUUUCUCUCAUUCAUGGCUAACACCACGACCGGUGGUACUGCCAGUCUGCUUUGGCCAAGUCGUAGUUGGUGGGCACUUGUGUCUACUGGUUGCGGCGUUCACGGGCAAUUUGGUAGACGGCGUUGGCAUUCGCCUUGUGCUGUGUCGGCGCGCUAUCGUUUAUCGGUUGUCUUAGUGGGCCUUGGUGGUAUGAAUAACUGUGCAGGGCAUCGGAUUGUUCGGCCUCAAAUGCAGUCGGCAUGCACGCUUUCGGGUGUGCAAUGUGUGUGCAGUGCCGCGGCCUGCCUGUUGUUGAGCGUGACUGUCGUGUUGCCUGCGCAAAGUGGGCCCGGCGGUGGCUUAAUGCAGGAUGGUGCUGUGUGUGCUGUGUGCAGUGUCGGCUGUGGUGGGCCUAAUAGUCGGUGGUGUGGUGGUAGACGAGCUACCCGACCCGUCUUGAAACACGGACCAAGGAGUUUAACUUGUGUGCAAGUCAAUGGGUCCUACGAAACCCAAAGGCGCAGUGAAAGUGAAGCCUCGACUUGUUCGGGGUGAGGUGAGAUCCUGCUGUUACUCGCAUCAUGUCGACACCAGGCAUCAAGAGCAGUGGGCGCAUCACCGGCCCGUCCCAUGAUGUGGCCAUUGGAAUAGGGCUGCGGUUGGCCUUCACGGGUUGGCUGUAGUACCUCCAGUGCGUCAUCGGGGCGGAGCAUGAGCACACAGGUUGAGACCCGAAAGAUGGUGAACUAUGCUUGCGUAGG
rnacentral:rRNA from 1 species